rnacentral:lncRNA from 1 species
UUUUUUAUUAAAGCCGGUAUUAACCUUUACUCGUCCUUGGCGUGAGACAUAAGCCAUAUAAUUAUCGAUUAUUUUAUAUUCUAUCACCUGUGUAUUGUAAAAAAUAAAUCAAACCAUUAUCACUUGUCAAUUAUCCGACAACUUGGUCAAAUAUCAACUUGUUCUCGCAUACCGGACUCUUUUGAUACACUCGGGCUUUUACUUAUUCAAUAAUAAACAGUUGUAAAUAUCGUACAUUGUAAAAACUAGUGUGGGAAAAUGUUCAUUCAUGAAAUAUUCAUGAAUGAAACGCUGUCUCGCGUAGAUUUCUUUUGAUUUUCUCUUCAGCCAAUGGCUGAUCCGCAAAGUAGUGUUUGUGAUACUUAUUUUCAAAAUGAAGUUAAAUUCAUCUGAAUUGUCGGUGAACAUUCAUUCCUUUUUUAUUCAAGCUGUAAUCUUUUCAAAACAGUAGCAACUCAAAAUAUCCAAGAGUUAGAAUUCGAACACUAGUACUACAUUAUCUUGGAGCAGAACAUUGCGAUAGUCUGUCUCA